CGGAAGUUGUUUCGCAGUUGUUCCCCAAGCGGUGUGAGAUAGAGGAGGGCUCCAAAUGGGUCGCAGCCGCAGCCGCUCCCCGCGGAGGGAACGUAGGCGGUCCCGGUCCGCUUCCAGGGAGAGAGAACGAAGGCGCCGAGAAAGGUCCCGGUCCCGGGAGAGAGAUAGGAGAAGGAGCCGCUCGCGAUCCCCGCACAGAAGACGCUCCAGAUCCCCAAGACGACACAGAUCCACAUCUCCUUCCCCUUCUCGACUGAAAGAAAGAAGAGAUGAGGAAAAAAAAGAAACAAAGAGUAAAGAACGUCAGAUUACUGAGGAAGACUUAGAGGGCAAAACAGAGGAAGAAAUAGAAAUGAUGAAGGUGAUGGGAUUUGCCUCCUUUGACUCCACAAAAGGAAAAAAGUUGGAUGGCUCUGUAAAUGCCUAUGCCAUAAAUGUGUCUCAGAAGAGGAAGUACAGGACAGAACAAUUCAUACUUGAAAUUUCAUUGAUUUCCUCAUGAAUGGAAAAGUCAAGAAGAUAUCUUCAAACAUUGCCUUUCUCUCUACCUUUAUCACUGAUAACAGACUAACAUUUCAAUUAAUUUAGAAUGUGAAUAAUGAGGUGUGAGAAUGCUGGCAGUACAUGAAUCGAAAAGGUGGAUUCAACAGACCUCUGGAUUUCAUUGCGUGAGAAUUGAAAUAUUGAAGAAUGAUUUUUUUCCCCCUCAUCUGAUCAGAAGAGUGGAUUUUGUAUUUUGUAUUUCAUAUGCAUCAAAACAGGACAGGAUCACAGUCCCUUCUCCUGUAAAGUAAGAAAAUUUUAUCUGUGAUGUGUGCAGUUCACAUACACUGACUCACAAGAAGAAAUGUUAAAUAUUGCAUUUUUUUCUUUUAGGAAAUAUCAUUUGGGGCAAUCAUCAACCCCAUUUUCUGUCUUUAUUCCUGUGGAAGCUGUGUAUGUUUUCUUCUUGGAUGCUCGUUAGGACUUUUUAAAACACAUAAAAAUAAUUCGGAUGUAAGCUUCUCAAAUAAAGCAAUAUUUAUAUCCCUU